AGCUUUGCGCACCAGCUAAACCUUUGCUGUAUUGACCUAGUCCUGUUUUGCCUGUCUGCCUGUUUUCUGAUUACCUACCUGUAACCCUGCUUUUUCCCCUGCCUAGACAAACCCGACAACUGCACGCACCUGUUUGUCACCCUGGACCUCGGAGCCACCCUGCACCUAGAUUCCACGCCAACCCACAGCCACUCGGCCCACCCCCCCGACACUGUUGUUAUACCUAAUGCCAUGAUGAAUGAAGCCCAGUCAAUGUAAUUGUCUUUUAUGCUUGAAACCAUCUCUUAUAUAAUAAAAUAGAAAUGAAUUAC